rnacentral:rRNA from 2 species
AUUAGAAGCUUGCUUCUAUGACGUUAGCGGCGGACGGGUGAGUAACACGUGGGCAACCUGCCUGUAAGACUGGGAUAACUUCGGGAAACCGAAGCUAAUACCGGAUAGGAUCUUCUCCUUCAUGGGAGAUGAUUGAAAGAUGGUUUCGGCUAUCACUUACAGAUGGGCCCGCGGUGCAUUAGCUAGUUGGUGAGGUAACGGCUCACCAAGGCAACGAUGCAUAGCCGACCUGAGAGGGUGNNNGGCCACACUGGGACUGAGACACGGCCCAGACUCCUACGGGAGGCAGCAGUAGGGAAUCUUCCGCAAUGGACGAAA